CACUUAUUAGCUUCUUACAGAAGGGCGUGAGAAUCGAGCUGCGGAGCUUUGGAUCACACUGAAUGAAAAGAAAUUUCCCCAAUUGGAGCGUAAAAUACAGGACCUUGAAAGGGACUAUGACGACCGUGUGAAACAAUUUUUAAAGGUGAAUGAAGAAAUCGAACAAAUUGACUCACGAGGACAAACAGCUUACAAUAAAAUACUGAGCCUGAAGGAGGAGAUAAAAAAACUGCAGAAGAAACUGAGCAACCUGGAUAAAGUGGAUGGAGAGGCUUUUAUACAACAGUACGAGAAAGAGUACGGGGAGCCAGAGGAGAGCGAGGAGAAAAGAAAAGGAAACAACCAA